CUAAUUUUUGUAAAGAAAGGUUUCUCGGGGCUCUGCCUGUGACAUACAGUCCCUUUCCACAACGUUGGAGAUGAAGCUGGGCCUCGUGUCUGCACCUGCAUGUUCCCCCAGCUUCCCAGAGUCCUGUGGACAAUGACUGGGGAGACAAACCAUGCAGGAAACAUGU
ensembl:snoRNA SNORA73 Small nucleolar RNA SNORA73 family